rnacentral:lncRNA from 1 species
UGAGAUUAAACACUGAGGCGUCCAUCAAUUUAUAAAUGAAAACACUGAGGGAAAAUGUUGUGGGUUGCAAUAAGUUGGGUGUUUAUGAUGCAACACUAUGAAUAAAAACCACGUUAUUAAUGGUUUACCAACCAAACCCUAGUAACAUGAUCAACAGUGUAAGAAAUAUGUGCGAAAAUUUUGGUGAGUACAAAAAUAUUCAGUAGGCUAAAAUUCGCCAAACUAUAACUGUAAUCUCGAGGAUCGCUUGAUGUGACAAAGUGCAUGAUUUUGCUCAUCAACCACUGAAUAACUGCAAGAUAAAGAAAACGCAAUCUGUUUCCGUGACACAACCCUUGGAUCGUUGUGAACUUUCUUUUUUGAUGGAACUUAACCAUCCACCUCAUAUACAUUUGGAGUAGCUUGCACCAUUAUUUAUCGUUUCUCUGUUCUAACAAAUGCAUCAACAUCUUACUAUUACUAAUUGGAGAUUCCUUUUGAAACCUCCAGGUGAAGCCACCUAGGAUUCCUAGGUGGACACUCUAUAAAAAGAGAGAAAUCCUAGAAAUUCUCACAAAAAAGCAAAACAUUCGUAUCGAUUCAAAUCAUCAUAAUCUAUUAUGUUUUCUAAAAAAUUACCCACCUAUGCCAUUAUGAAAAUAGUCUAAAGUAACCCCCUAAAUCUAUAUAUAAAUUACCCACAUGUGCCAUUAUAUAAAAUAAGCUAAAGUAACCCCCUAAUCUUCAUCAAAAUUACCCACGUAUGCCAUUAUAAAUAAUAUUUAAAAUAACCCCCUAAUUUGCAACCGAAUUACCCACCACUAUUACUUGAAAACUUAAAGUAACAUAUUAAAUUUGCAUCUAUAUUACCCACACAUGCUAUUAUUAAAAAUAACAUGAUAACCCUACGUUUAAAUCAAAUAACCUUAAUUAAAAAUAUAUAACAAUAUAUGAUUCUAAAUCGUCUAUAUGUUGCACUAUUGGUAUAUGAUAUAAUAAUUAAGGUCUAUACGCAUGAUGUGUGUCACCAUUUAUAAAGAUAUAGAGGAAGUGAUGAGAAUAUAGAUUUCUGUGUUAAAAUUGUAUCACAAACUUAGGGUUCAUUAAACAAAUCCAAGCGCAUACCUGCGAUGCAAAGUGAAAAGUUAAAGAUUAUAAAUGCGGAUGAAAAUAUUAUAGAGUAAUUACUAACUAAAAUCUAUCACAAUUGGAUGAAGAUAAUAAGUAUAUAUCUAUAUAAGUAUUGUGUUCGAAUAUUUAACAAACGAGAGGUAGCUUAUGGUAAUAUUUUUUUAGCAAUGUAGUCCUAUUUUUUCCAUUGCAGACUCUGCAUUAGUUCCCAUGAGACAAGCUAGAGAAAAGAAACAAAUUCUCAUAAAAAUCAAAAACAUCAAACACCAAUCCUGUAAACUCUAAUAAUCAUAGCUAUUGAUCUAUUAUAUUUUCUAAAAAGUUACCCAUCACUAUCAUCGUGAAAAUAUUCAAAAAUGAGCUCUAAACCUAUAUCUAAAUUACCAAGCUCAGCUAUUAUAAAAAAUAAUCUAAAGCAACCGCAUAAUCUUCAUCCAAUUUACUAAUACAUAUUAUUAUAAAGCAUAACUUAAAAUGUCAUUCUAAAAUUUUAUCUAUAUUACCC